rnacentral:rRNA from 1 species
UACGUAGGGGGCAAGCGUUGUCCGGAUUUACUGGGCGUAAAGCGCGUGUAGGCGGAAGCGCAAGUCCGGUGUGAAAGCCCCCGGCUCAACCGGGGAAGGUCGCUGGAAACUGCGCUUCUUGAGGACGACAGAGGGAAGUGGAAUUGCUGGUGUAGCGGUGAAAUGCGUAGAGAUCAGCAGGAACACCCGUGGCGAAGGCGGCUUCCUGGGUCGUGCCUGACGCUGAGACGCGAAAGCGUGGGGAGCGAACCGGG